AACGAACGCUGGCGGCGCGCUUAACACAUGCAGGUCGAACGAGAAGGCGUAGCAAUACGCUUGUAAAGUGGCGAACGGGUGAGUAACACGUGGGUAACCUACCCUCGAGUGGGGAAUAACCCGCCGAAAGGCGGGCUAAUGCCGCAUACGCUUCCGGUCCUUCGGGGCUGGAAAGAAAGCCGUAGCUAGGCUAUGGCGCUCUUGGAUGGGCUCACGUCCUAUCAGCUUGUUGGUGAGGUAACGGCUCACCAAGGCUCCGACGGGUAGCUGGUCUGAGAGGACGAUCAGCCACACUGGCACUGCGACACGGGCCAGACUCCUACGGGAGGCAGCAGUGAGGAAUAUUGCGCAAUGGGCGAAAGCCUGACGCAGCGACGCCGCGUGGGGGAUGAAGGUCUUCGGAUUGUAAACCCCUUUCGGGAGGGAAGAUGGUCCUAGACAACUAGGACGGACGGUACCUCCAGAAGCAGCCACGGCUAACUUCGUGCCAGCAGCCGCGGUAAUACGG
rnacentral:rRNA from 1 species